rnacentral:rRNA from 1 species
GAUGAACGCUGGCGGCGUGCUUAACACAUGCAAGUCGAGCGGGCAAUUUAUCUAGCACUGAUUACUUCAAAUGGCUAUCGCCAGUGUAAUCAUGAAUUUCUACCUUUUAAUAAAGAAAAAGAAAUUCAUGUACGCAAAUAGUGAUAACACAUUUUAGUGGAGUGAUGAGUGCUGGAUAAAUUGCUAGCGGCGGACGGGUGCGUAACACGUGGGUAACCUGCCCCUAUCACUGGGAUAACACACUGAAAAGUGUGCUAAUACCAGAUAACAUAAGCUUUUGGUCAUCAUUAGCUUAUCAAAGAAUUUCGGUAUAGGGAUGGGCCCGCGUCUGAUUAGCUUGUUGGUGAGGUAACGGCUCACCAAGGCAACGAUCAGUAGCCGACCUAAGAGGGUGAUCGGCCACACUGGAACUGAGACACGGUCCAGACUCCUACGGGAGGCAGCAGUGGGGAAUAUUGCACAAU